CCUACGGGAGGCUGCAGUGAGGAAUAUUGGUCAAUGGCCGUAAGGCUGAACCAGCCAAGUCGCAUGAAGGAAGAAGGAUCUAUGGUUUGUAAACUUCUUUUAUAGGGGAAUAAAGGUAUCCACGUGUGGAUAUUUGCAUGUACCCUAUGAAUAAGCAUCGGCUAACUCCGUGCCAGCAGCCGCGGUAAUACGGAGGAUGCGAGCGUUAUCCGGAUUUAUUGGGUUUAAAGGGUGCGUAGGUUGUUUUUUAAGUCAGCGGUGAAAGUUUGUGGCUCAACCAUAAAAUUGCCGUUGAAACUGGAAGACGUGAGUGUGUUUGAGGUAGGCGGAAUGCGUGGUGUAGCGGUGAAAUGCAUAGAUAUCACGCAGAACUCCGAUUGCGAAGGCAGCUUACUAAGCCAUAACUGACACUGAAGCACGAAAGCGUGGGGAUCAAACAGGAUUAGAUACCCCAGUAGUC
rnacentral:rRNA from 1 species